UACAGAGACUACAAGCGUUAUUCGGAUUCACUGGGCGUAAAGGGUGCGCAGGCGGUUGGGUGUGUCAGAUGUGAAAUCCCGAGGCUUAACCUCGGAACUGCGUCUGAAACUACUCGACUAGAGUACUGGAGAGGGUAACGGAAUUCACGGUGUAGCAGUGAAAUGCGUAGAUAUCAGGAAGAACACCCGUGGCGAAGGCGGCUCACUGGCUCGGUACUGACGCUGAGGUGCGAAAGCGUGGGGAGCAAACGGG
rnacentral:rRNA from 1 species